AUUGAACGCUGGCGGCAUGCCUUACACAUGCAAGUCGAACGGUAACGCGGGGCAACCUGGCGACGAGUGGCGAACGGGUGAGUAGUGCAUCGGAACGUGCCCAAUAGUGGGGGAGUAGCCCGGCGAAAGACCGGAUUAAUACCGCAUACGACCUAUGGGUGGAAAGACGGGGGAGUCGCAAGACCUCGCGCUAUUGGAGCGGCCGAUGUCAGAUUAGGUAGUUGGCGGGGUAAAGGCCCACCAAGCCUGCGAUCUGUAGCUGGUCUGAGAGGACGACCAGCCACACUGGGACUGAGACACGGCCCA
rnacentral:rRNA from 1 species